GCCAAAUCAAAUCUUAACUUAUUAUAAGUAGGGAAACUUUCCAGAAGCCAACACCCCAAAUAUACUCGAAUACUAAAUUAGCAAUUUGUCUUUGCAUGCGCUUAUCAGCUGGCUAGGUUCUUGAGCUGCGACUUACAUUUUUGCUCAAAUGGUGGACCAAAUUCAUGACUUGAACUUUGAAAGCUCCACCCAAAAUUUUCUUUCCUCACCCCUUUUCAAUAAUUUCUUUUUUCCUUAUCACCCCUUUUGGAAAUUUGCCUUGGAAAUGGCCAUCUCCCUAUGAAAGGAAGAUGUAACCAAUUCAUCAUUUGAUGUUUGCCAGAA
rnacentral:misc_RNA from 1 species